AGAGGCGUUGUAUUGGAGGUAGAACAUGGUGGCAAAGAUAGAAGAAUGGUUUUGAUUGUAUUUUUCUGUUAUGUUUUGAAUAGGUUACACAUGUUCCCUUUUAUAGGGGAAUUACAACCAUAGGAAAUACCACCAUUACACUAGGAACUAUCACUAAUUAAAUGUAUCUAGGAAAGUUCACUCAUUUAUUGUAAUACCAAUUACCAAGUUAUGGAAACUUGGUACUAGCCGUUAUUCUCUUCUUUUUGACACUCCCCCUCAAGUUGAGCAAUGGUAUCUCCAAUGUUCAACUUGGCCAAAACUUCUCUAAAAAUUCUGGGAUUCACUGCUUUGGUUAGGAUAUCAGCCAAUUGUUCCUCGGAUCGCACAAACGGGAAUUCUAUGACUCCACCUUCCAAUUUUUCUUUAAUGAAGUGGCGAUCGACUUCAACGUGUUUGGUUCGAUCAUGUUGUACUGGAUUUUCUGAUAUGCUGAUUGCCGCUUUAUUGUCACAGAAUAACUUACUCUUUCGGUUUGGGGGAAAACCGAUCUCAGUAAGUAAUCUCCUAAGCCAUAUGAUCUCCAUGAGUCCACUCUUGAUGCCUCGGAACUCUGCUUCAGCACUUGAUAAGGCUACAACCUUUUGCUUCUUACUUCUCCAAGUAACUAGGUUGCCUCCGAUGAAGGUAAAGUAUCCACCGGUUGACUUUCUAUCGACUGGAUUACUUGCCCAAUCGGCAUCUGUAUAGCCAUCUACUUCAAGGUUCAGCUCCCUCAACAAUUUUUAGCCCAUGAUUCGGUAUCAUUGGUGUGUCAGCAGGCUUGCAAUCUAAGAGGCCAGUUUCUGCCAACAUGUCGAGGACAUAUUUUCUCUGUCUUAAGAAUAUUCCAUGAUUCGACCUGAGCACUUCAAUUCCUAAGAAGUAUUUUAGA